UACGUAGGGGGCAAGCGUUGUCCGGAUUCAUUGGGCGUAAAGAGCGUGUAGGCGGCCAGGUAGGUCGGUUGUGAAAACUGGAGGCUCAACCUUCAGAGGUCGACCGAAACCAUCUGGCUAGAGUCCGGGAGAGGAGAGUGGAAUUCCACGUGUAGCAGUGAAAUGCGUAGAUAUGUGGAGGAACACCGAUGGCGAAGGCAGCCCCCUGGGUCAAGACUGACGCUCAUGCACGAAAGCGUGGGGAGCAAACAGG
rnacentral:rRNA from 1 species